CUGCCCUAUCUGCCACGGAGAUGACUGUGACUUUGUCAAUCGAGAUACGUGUCACAUAUGUAGAAUCGACUUACAUCAAGGACAAUUACCUUAUGUUCAUUGUUUGAAUGGAAAUGAACAUUGCAAAGAUAACAACAACACGCUCUGCUGCAGUGACGAAUCCUGCAUAGCACGUGCAUUUGGAUCAUUUUAUCCUGGUGUUUCAUCUAUACAUCCUACUACCAGCAAAGAAACCAACGUUACUGAUCUCAAUGUUCAUUGUCCCCAUUGUCAUGGAGAAUUCUGUGACUUUGUAAAUCGUGACACGUGCCAUGUGUGUAAAU